CAGAGAACAGGUCUACACAAAACUGGUUUUGAGGCAGAAGUGUCCCACCAGAUGCAAGCAAUGGGAAAUCAGGAGGAAGACGAGGGAAGCUCAAGCACAAAGCUGUCAGGAUUCAAUGAAGAGACCACAGCUCCAAAUGAGUCACCUCCUUGUAAGAAGAAAGCCUUAGAUGCGCUGUUUGGCGAUUCCUUCACCCAAAGAGAAAGAAAAUCCACAAGCGAGACAGCCAGAGCAGAGGUGUUAAGGUACCGAGCAAAAGAUGCGUUGCCUUUGACUGA